rnacentral:lncRNA from 1 species
AUCGUGGUGUGCCCAGCUCUUCCAAGGACUGCUGCGCUUCGGGGCCCAGGUGAGUCCCGCACCUAAUAUCUGCCCUCUGGGAACCCCACACCCGCUUGCUUCGGCCUCCAGCCAGGCUUCGCGAGGAGCCGCGCCCCGCGAGCCUGGGUGGGGCCACCCCUCCAGCUCGCACACUGCUUCGGAUGCCCCCAGACUCGCUGGGGCGGAGGCCAGUCUUGUCUGGAGCUACCCCAUCCUGGCGUUGGAGCCGCUGUUCUGUUCUCCUUUUCGGCAUGUGGUUCUUCAUUCUCAUCUUUUCUACUUUGCAACUAGUCUUAGAGUUAACUGGAGUUUAGCAGAACCUGCUUGCGCUCUGUCCUAGUUGGCAGUUCCAUGAAGCUUCAGGCUACAGGCAGAGCUCAGGCUGUUUGAGCCGCUUUGGCCAGGGAGGACUGGAGGCUUGGCAGCUGGAGGAUUCCCUUUCUGAAGGACCCUGCUCUGCUUGUUGCCUUAGCCUCAGUGCAAAUUCCAGGUUGCUUCGGAAGGAUCUUUAAAGUAGGACUUUCUGUCUCUCUACCAAGUGUUCCUCUAGCUACUCGGAUUAAAUAAAGGGAACCAGAGAGAGAUGGAACGAGAGAGCAGGCUUGGUGAAGAAUCUUCAGUCUGGGAUUAAUUUUCAUGUGGUGCAGUGAGAGGGACGUACCUGCUUCACGGCCUGAGCUUGGCAACAGGAAUGACUGACCUCUUUCCUAGCCCUGCCUGGGAGGACUCUGGAGAAAUUGCUGAGUGGGUGGCAAGCAAAACAGAAAUGUGACAGACCAGCAGAGCCCGGAUCCACAUUCUGAAAUCCACAGGACCCACCUCCCUCAUUUUCCUACCCCCACCCCCCACCCCAGGAAAGCCAGACACAUUCUGCAGGGUGGGGCUAGCACAAAGGGUUCCUGGAUUCUCCUAGUGAUCUGUGGCCUGUGACUCAGCUGUGAGACCUUGGGUGUGGCCUAGCUGGUUGCUGAUUCUCUGUGGAUGGUUUGAACAGAUCGCUCCCUGAAGGAAAAGAGGAACUGUGCCAUCUUCCAGGGCAUUUUCCAAGAGGAAAUGAGUCACAACUAACUGGCCACCAACCUGCAGGAGGGGUUUCUUGUCUGAGCUGCCUGGAAGGGCAGUAAUUAGACUGGCAGAACCAUUCCAAGUCUGUCUCUCUCCCCCCCGCCCCCCCCAUUCCCCAAGCUUCAGUUUCAGCUUCCAGGAGUGGAUUUUUGCAUGUUAUACUUCAAAUUAGGUAGAAACUCUCUGUCAGAGAGCUUGCCUUCGGUGUGUUUCAGCAAAUUGCAAACGAUAAUGCCCGACGUUGGAGCAGGAAGGAGGAGUUCAUAUAACUCCCUGAAAUUUCAUUUACCUUAGUCCUCCUCCCAUUGCCUAUGCACUGUCACUGACAGUCUAAGAGUAGUGUUGUUUGUUUGUUUGUUUGUUUGUUUGUUUGUUUUUGGUCUGCUUGGCAUAGAGCAGUUAUUUGGGUUCCCCUAAUUUCUGAGUGAUGCUGUUCCCUGGCUUUUCCUAAAUACAACAUCAAAUGGGCCGUUGUCCUCUUAUGCCUGGCCUCUGGCCAGCCUCUGAGCAGUCACCCCAAUGUGGUCAGGCCCUGGGCUGGGUGGGGCUGAGGCUGGAUACCUCCCUGCUUUCUACUGACAGGAGAGAGAGAGAGAGAGAGAGAGAGAGAGAGAGAGAGAGAGAGUGUGUCAUGGAGUCAUGUCUCCCCACCUCCCAGCAAAUACAUAAGUAUUUGAUAUGCCUUGGACACAUUCCAUUCAUUUAAGCCUAGCUAAGAGAACAAUAGGAUUCUUUCAGAAUUAUGAAAUAAAUUAAUGCUCACAGUGCUGGGGAAAGAUGGGCUCUCAGGAUUCACAACUUAGGAAUCACACCUCAAAAGCAAAGGGAGUAACAGGCUUGGCAGUGUGAGGGUCUAGCUCUUCAGGACCACCACCCCUGGAGGGAGGCAGGGAGGGACUGAUUGACUUUUAAAGACAACUUUCAACCCUUCAACUAAAUAAUUCUCACUUGUCCAUGUAGCUGAUGUUGUUGGUUGGGUUGCUGACUCAUGACAACCCCUCAUGGAAAAAUGGAUGCUCUUGGUUGAGCUAGAGUUCUUUCUUCCUAUUGAAUUGCAUCUGGAGCUUCCUUUAGCAGACCAUGUCUGUAGUAUGCAAGUUUUAGUUGGUGAGAAAGUCUGAGCUAAAAUCCAUUGUUUUCAUUUCAUUCCUACCCCAAAUAUACUGUAAGGGUCAGAUUCAAAAAUGUCCUCUGGAUUCAAU